UGUUUGUCCCAAGUUCCUGUGUUGCCUACCUUACGAAAGGCACUCUUGUGGCUUUGUAGACUUUAUCCGUUCCAACCUCCCUUGGUGGGUUGCGAAGGGCUUUUGAGGUGAAAUACGUGGUUGCCCAUUUAGUCACGCUUGAUGCCGACUACUUUGGUGCACAUGUACUAAUCGUGUUCCUGGAUGCGGUGCAUGAAGCGAACGCGGGUGCUUUUCCCAAUGCGUCCCUUAUUAUUUGGUUGCCUCAAAUGAUGCCUGCCUUCAUGCGUGGUUUGUGGCUCAUAUUAAUGGGUCCAAAGAUUGCAUGAUGUGCAGA
rnacentral:misc_RNA from 1 species